rnacentral:rRNA from 1 species
GUAGGGAAUAUUGCACAAUGGAGGAAACUCUGAUGCAGCGACGCCGCGUGAGUGACGAAGGCCUUCGGGUUGUAAAGCUCUGUUCUUAGGGAAAAAGAAAGUGAUUGUACCUAAGGAGAAAGGACCGGCUAACUUCGUGCCAGCAGCCGCGGUAAGACGAGGGGUCCAAGCGUUGUUCGGAAUUAUUGGGCGUAAAGCGGGUGUAGGUGGCUCUAUAAGUCAGGAGUGAAAUCCCCGAGCUUAACUUGGGAAGUGCUUUUGAUACUGCAGAGCUUGAGUGUGGGAGAGGAUCGUAGAAUUCCUGGUGUAGUGGUGAAAUACGUAGAUAUCAGGAGGAAUACCGGUGGCGAAGGCGGCGAUCUGGCCCAACACUGACACUGAGACCCGAAAGCGUGGGGAUCAAACAGGAUUAGAAACCCCAGUAGUCC